AGAGUUUGAUCCUGGCUCAGGAUGAACGCUAGCUACAGGCUUAACACAUGCAAGUCGAGGGGAAACGACAUCGAAAGCUUGCUUUUGAUGGGCGUCGACCGGCGCACGGGUGAGUAACGCGUAUCCAACCUGCCCACCACUUGGGGAUAACCUUGCGAAAGUAAGACUAAUACCCAAUGACGUCUCUAGAAGACAUCUGAAAGAGAUUAAAGAUUUAUCGGUGAUGGAUGGGGAUGCGUCUGAUUAGCUUGUUGGCGGGGUAACGGCCACCAAGGGCGACGAUCAGUAGGGGUUCUGAGAGGAAGGUCCCCCANAUUGGAACUGAGACACGGUCCAAACUCCUAACGGGAGCA
rnacentral:rRNA from 1 species